rnacentral:rRNA from 1 species
UACGUAGGGUGCGAGCGUUGUCCGGAAUUAUUGGGCGUAAAGAGCUUGUAGGCGGUCUGUCGCGUCUGCUGUGAAAAUCCGGGGCUCAACCCCGGACUUGCAGUGGGGUACGGGCAGACUAGAGGUGUGGUAGGGGAGACUGGAAUUCCUGGUGAUAGCGGUGAAAUGCGCAGAUAUCAGGAGGAACACCGAUGGCGAAGGCAGG